rfam:Schistosoma margrebowiei strain Zambia genome assembly, scaffold: SMRZ_contig0004071
GUACUCGCUUCGGCGGUACAUAUAGUAAAAUUGGAACGAUAAAGAGAAAAUUAGAAUUGACCGCUGCGCAAGGAUGAGACGCGAAAUCGUGAACCGUUCCAUAUUAUU